AGAGAACUUUCCAGAGAUGGAUUGGUGCCUUCGGGAACUCUGAGACAGGUGCUGCAUGGCUGUCGUCAGCUCGUGUUGUGAAAUGUUGGGGUUAAAGUCCCGCAACGAGCGCAACCCUUAUCCUUUGUUGCCAGCGGUUAGGCCGGGAACUCAAAGGAGACUGCCAGUGAUAAACUGGAGGAAGGUGGGGAUGACGUCAAGUCAUCAUGGCCCUUACGAGUAGGGCUACACACGUGCUACAAUGGCGCAUACAAAGAGAAGCGACCUCGCGAGAGCAAGCGGACCUCAUAAAGUGCGUCGUAGUCCGGAUUGGAGUCUGCAACUCGACUCCAUGAAGUCGGAAUCGCUAGUAAUCGUGGAUCAGAAUGCCACGGUGAAUACGUUCCCGGGCCUUGUACACACCGCCCGUCACACCAUGGGAGUGGGUUGCAAAAGAAGUAGGUAGCUUAACCUUCGGGAGGGCGCUUACCACUUUGUGAUUCAUGACUGGGGUGAAGUCGUAACAAGGUAGGCGUAGUGCU
rnacentral:rRNA from 1 species